CCAUUUGUAGGUUAUGUAAACCGAAGACUUGUGGCGUCUUAAAAUUCUUAUGAACGAGUGGU
rnacentral:tRNA from 1 species